rnacentral:rRNA from 1 species
AGCGAACGCUGGCGGCAGGCCUAACACAUGCAAGUCGAACGAACCUUUCGGGGUUAGUGGCGGACGGGUGAGUAACACGUGGGAACGUGCCUUUAGGUUCGGAAUAACUCAGGGAAACUUGUGCUAAUACCGAAUGUGCCCUUCGGGGGAAAGAUUAAUCGCCUUUAGAGCGGCCCGCGUCUGAUUAGCUGGUUGGUUGAGGUAAUGGCUCACCAAGGCGACGAUCAGUAGCUGGUCUGAGAGGAUGAUCAGCCACAUUGGGGCUGAGACACGGCCCAAACUCCGACGGGAGGGAGCAGUAGGGAAUCUUGCGCAAGGGGCGAAAGUCUGACGCAGCCAUGCCGCGUGAAUGAUGAAGGUCGUAGGAUUGUAAAAUUCUUUCUCCGGGGACGAUAAUGACGGUAACCGGAGAAGAAGCCCCGGCUAACUUCGUG